rnacentral:lncRNA from 12 species
UGUGUUUGGAAAAUGUGUCAAAAUAUUGCAUCACAAAUGCUGGCUCUUGAUUUAUUUUGAAAGAAGCCCUCUUUGGUUGGUUUACGGGAAACACCUCUCUUGGGGCCUGACUGAAAAUAGCUGGAUUCUGAAUUACACACCAGACGGUGGGAUUUCGACCACCGUUUCCUCAAUAAAGUUCCACAGGCUCUUCAAAGCUUCACAUCCUUUAAGGAACAAGGUGGCUUUUCAUGCUAGUUCCUGUUUAGACUUUAUAUAAACUGAAUCAGCAAGUAAUAUCAACACUGGACAGGAAUAUAUCAUCACACAUUAUUAGUUUACUCUGCAUCUACACAGGAGGAUGUGUGCAUAAAUCAUAUGCUUUAUAAAGCAGGUUCAGGUGGCUUUUAUGUAAUGCUGAAAUAUAAUUAAAACUGCUAGAGUCCAGCAUGCAGUAUUAUGUAACUUAUAACAUCAGUAAGUAGAGCAAUACAUUUUCAUCCUCAAAAAAAAGUUAUGAUGGCAAAUACAAUGACAGAAUGUGUUUGGCAAGAGAAACCUCUCUUUGUCAUUACAUCAACUGAAAGAAGCCCACACAAACUGAAUGUGUCUUUUCACAGUGAACCAUCUCAUUGUCUCAAGAGUCGCUCUGUCAUUUGGAAAUGGACCCCUUCAUCUUUGCCAGUGUGGCUACUGUAUGACUUGGACAGAUGGACAUGGAGAGAAAACAUCUGGGUGUCAUGAUUGUGUGCUGGACUAACUGGAUCAGAAUGCAGCGGUGUGGGCAUGAGAUGCUGUUGGAGUUGGAGGGGUUGUUAGUGGUUGGUCCAGAUCUGCUGUUGAAGGUGACCUGGUGACGUGUACAUUAAAGACUAGAUGAAGCCCAGGAAUUAUGUCCAGGUUGUACUUAAACUGAUAAAAAUGAGUCACACAAAUGAAGGGCUUGGAUAACAUCUAGCUGUCACCAAAUAAAAUAACAUCCUUGACAUUGAGUUACAGGGUGAUUUUUAUAUGUGGACAUCUUAAAUUCAUAAUAUGCUGAGCUGUGAGCACUAGCUCGGACUUGGGGAUUUUUCCGUUGUGCUAAACCCUGGGUUAUAAUCAUUCUAAAC